rnacentral:rRNA from 1 species
UGGGGAAUAUUGCACAAUGGGCGCAAGCCUGAUGCAGCCAUGCCGCGUGUAUGAAGAAGGCCUUCGGGUUGUAAAGUACUUUCAGCGAGGAGGAAGGCGUUGUGGUUAAUAACCGCAACGAUUGACGUUACUCGCAGAAGAAGCACCGGCUAACUCCGUGCCAGCAGCCGCGGUAAUACGGAGGGUGCAAGCGUUAAUCGGAAUUACUGGGCGUAAAGCGAACGCAGGCGGUCUGUCAAGUCGGAUGUGAAAUCCCCGGGCUCAACCUGGGAACUGCAUCCGAAACUGGCAGGCUAGAGUCUUGUAGAGGGGGGUAGAAUUCCAGGUGUAGCGGUGAAAUGCGUAGAGAUCUGGAGGAAUACCGGUGGCGAAGGCGGCCCCCUGGACAAAGACUGACGCUCAGGUGCGAAAGCGUGGGGAGCAAACA